GAGUUUGAUCCUGGCUCAGAAUGAACGCUGGCGGCGUGCUUAACACAUGCAAGUCGCACGAGAACGCUUCAGCUUGCUGGAGCUAGUAAAGUGGCGCACGGGUGAGUAACGCGUGGGUAAUCUACCUCCGAAUUGGGGAUAACACUGCGAAAGUGGUGCUAAUACCGAAUGACAUCUCAGGGACCUCGGUCUCUAAGAUCAAAGGUGGCCUCUACAUGUAAGCUACUGUUUGGAGAUGAGCCCGCGUACCAUUAGCUAGUUGGUAGGGUAAUGGCCUACCAAGGCUGCGAUGGUUAGCUGGUCUGAGAGGAUGAUCAGCCACACUGGAACUGACACACGGUCCAGACUCCUACGGGAGGCAGCAGUGAGGAAUUUUGCGCAAUGGGGGAAACCCUGACGCAGCAACGCCGCGUGAGUGAUGAAGGCUUUCGGGUCGUAAAGCUCUGUCAAGUGGGAAGAAUAUGCCCUGUGAUAAUACCAUGGGGCACUGACGGUACCACUGAAGGAAGCACCGGCUAACUCCGUGCCAGCAGCCGCGGUAAUACGGGGGGUGCAAGCGUUAUUCGGAAUCAUUGGGCGUAAAGGGCGCGUAGGCGGCCCCUUAAGUCAGAUGUGAAAGCCCUCAGCUUAACUGAGGAAGUGCAU
rnacentral:rRNA from 1 species